rnacentral:rRNA from 1 species
CCAGCUCUAAUAGCAUAUAUUAAAGUUGUUGCAGUUAAAAAGCUCGUAGUCGGAUUUUGGGUGCAUGAGGGCUGUCGGCCUCUGGUCGGACGGCAGUUGUGUGCCUUUCUGCUUGGGAGCCCCAGGGGAUUUAACCGUCCUCUGGUGGGUCACAGGCCGUUUACUUUGAAAAAAUUAGAGUGUUCAAAGCAGGCUAUCGCUUGAAUACAUUAGCAUGGAAUAAUGGAAUAGGACCUUGGUGCUAUUUCGUUGGUUAUGGGACUGGGGUAAUGAUUAAUAGGGACAGUUGGGGCCGUUCAUAUUUCGUUGUCAGAGGUGAAAUUCUUGGAUUUACGAACGAUGAACUUGUGCGAAAGCAUUCGGCAAGGAUGUUUUCA